rnacentral:misc_RNA from 1 species
GAUGAAGAACGUAGCGAAAUGCGAUAAGUAAUGUGAAUUGCAGAAUUCAGUGAAUCAUCGAAUCUUUGAACGCACAUUGCGCCCGCCAGUAUUCUGGCGGGCAUGCCUGUUCGAGCGUCAUUUCAACCAUCAAGCCCCAGGCUUGUGUUGGGGACCUGUGGCUGCCGCAGGCCCUGAAAACCAGUGGCGGGCUCGCUGUCACACCGGGCGUAGUAGAUUUUAUCUCGCUCAGGGCGUGCUGCGGGUUCCGGCCGUUAAAAAGCCUUUUUUACCCAAGGUUGACCUCGGAUCAGGUAGGAAGACCCGCUGAACUUAAGCAUAUCAAUAAGCGGAGGA